rnacentral:rRNA from 1 species
GGGUUGUGAGGUUAAGCGACUAAGCGUACACGGUGGAUGCCCUGGCAGUCAGAGGCGAUGAAGGACGUGCUAAUCUGCGAUAAGCGUCGGUAAGGUGAUAUGAACCGUUAUAACCGGCGAUUUCCGAAUGGGGAAACCCAGUGUGUUUCGACACACUAUCAUUAACUGAAUCCAUAGGUUAAUGAGGCGAACCGGGGGAACUGAAACAUCUAAGUACCCCGAGGAAAAGAAAUCAACCGAGAUUCCCCCAGUAGCGGCGAGCGAACGGGGAGCAGCCCAGAGUCUGAAUCAGUGUGUGUGUUAGUGGAAGCGUCUGGAAAGGCGCGCGAUACAGGGUGACAGCCCCGUACACAAAAAUGCACAUAUUGUGAGCUCGAUGAGUAGGGCGGGACACGUGGUAUCCUGUCUGAAUAUGGGGGGACCAUCCUCCAAGGCUAAAUACUCCUGACUGACCGAUAGUGAACCAGUACCGUGAGGGAAAGGCGAAAAGAACCCCGGCGAGGGGAGUGAAAAAGAACCUGAAACCGUGUACGUACAAGCAGUGGGAGCACGCUUAGGCGUGUGACUGCGUACCUUUUGUAUAAUGGGUCAGCGACUUAUAUUCUGUAGCAAGGUUAACCGAAUAGGGGAGCCGAAGGGAAACCGAGUCUUAACUGGGCGUUAAGUUGCAGGGUAUAGACCCGAAACCCGGUGAUCUAGCCAUGGGCAGGUUGAAGGUUGGGUAACACUAACUGGAGGACCGAACCGACUAAUGUUGAAAAAUUAGCGGAUGACUUGUGGCUGGGGGUGAAAGGCCAAUCAAACCGGGAGAUAGCUGGUUCUCCCCGAAAGCUAUUUAGGUAGCGCCUCGUGAACUCAUCUCCGGGGGUAGAGCACUGUUUCGGCAAGGGGGUCAUCCCGACUUACCAACCCGAUGCAAACUGCGAAUACCGGAGAAUGUUAUCACGGGAGACACACGGCGGGUGCUAACGUCCGUCGUGAAGAGGGAAACAACCCAGACCGCCAGCUAAGGUCCCAAAGUCAUGGUUAAGUGGGAAACGAUGUGGGAAGGCCCAGACAGCCAGGAUGUUGGCUUAGAAGCAGCCAUCAUUUAAAGAAAGCGUAAUAGCUCACUGGUCGAGUCGGCCUGCGCGGAAGAUGUAACGGGGCUAAACCAUGCACCGAAGCUGCGGCAGCGACGCUUAUGCGUUGUUGGGUAGGGGAGCGUUCUGUAAGCCUGUGAAGGUGUGCUGUGAGGCAUGCUGGAGGUAUCAGAAGUGCGAAUGCUGACAUAAGUAACGAUAAAGCGGGUGAAAAGCCCGCUCGCCGGAAGACCAAGGGUUCCUGUCCAACGUUAAUCGGGGCAGGGUGAGUCGACCCCUAAGGCGAGGCCGAAAGGCGUAGUCGAUGGGAAACAGGUUAAUAUUCCUGUACUUGGUGUUACUGCGAAGGGGGGACGGAGAAGGCUAUGUUGGCCGGGCGACGGUUGUCCCGGUUUAAGCGUGUAGGCUGGUUUUCCAGGCAAAUCCGGAAAAUCAAGGCUGAGGCGUGAUGACGAGGCACUACGGUGCUGAAGCAACAAAUGCCCUGCUUCCAGGAAAAGCCUCUAAGCAUCAGGUAACAUCAAAUCGUACCCCAAACCGACACAGGUGGUCAGGUAGAGAAUACCAAGGCGCUUGAGAGAACUCGGGUGAAGGAACUAGGCAAAAUGGUGCCGUAACUUCGGGAGAAGGCACGCUGAUAUGUAGGUGAAGCGACUUGCUCGUGGAGCUGAAAUCAGUCGAAGAUACCAGCUGGCUGCAACUGUUUAUUAAAAACACAGCACUGUGCAAACACGAAAGUGGACGUAUACGGUGUGACGCCUGCCCGGUGCCGGAAGGUUAAUUGAUGGGGUCAGCGCAAGCGAAGCUCUUGAUCGAAGCCCCGGUAAACGGCGGCCGUAACUAUAACGGUCCUAAGGUAGCGAAAUUCCUUGUCGGGUAAGUUCCGACCUGCACGAAUGGCGUAAUGAUGGCCAGGCUGUCUCCACCCGAGACUCAGUGAAAUUGAACUCGCUGUGAAGAUGCAGUGUACCCGCGGCAAGACGGAAAGACCCCGUGAACCUUUACUAUAGCUUGACACUGAACAUUGAGCCUUGAUGUGUAGGAUAGGUGGGAGGCUU